rnacentral:rRNA from 1 species
AUUGAACGCUGGCGGCAGGCCUAACACAUGCAAGUCGAACGAGUGGCGGACGGGUGAGUAAUGUCUGGGAAACUGCCUGAUGGAGGGGGAUAACUACUGGAAACGGUAGCUAAUACCGCAUACCAUCGGAUGUGCCCAGCUGGGAUUAGCUAGUAGGGGGGUUAAAAGCUCACCUGGGCGACGAUCCCUAGCUGGUCUGAGAGCAUGACCGUCCACACUGUAGCUUGACCACGGUCCAAACUCUUACGGUAGGCGGCAGUGGGGAAUAUUCCACAAUGGGCGAAGGCCUGCUGCAGCCAUGCCGCGUGUAUGUAGAAGGCCUUCGGGUUGUAAAGUACUUUCAUCGGGGAGGCGUUACCCGCAGAAGAAGCACCGGCUAACUCCGUGCCAGCAGCCGCGGUAAUUC